CCAUCCCUCCUCCCUGUCUCGCCUUCACACAAAAGGACAACGGCGGCGGCGGCUGAAAUCCCUCGUCGCGGGCCGACGGAGGAAGGACCAGAGGACAUGCCAGCCGAUGAGGAAGAGCAGAGUCUGCGUGCGUGAUGCGGGCGCCGUCGGUGCAGGUUUGGACAAGCUGUGCAGCAGGAGCCAUGACGAGGGUUUCGCAGGCUAGAGGCCUCUAUACAGGGUUCGUCGUCCUCGGUGGAGAAGCCCCUUCCCGGACACUGGCCCGCCACGAUUCCUCGCCCCACACAUUGUGAGCGUGCAGGCUUGCGGCUACGGUGACUCUUGCCUCCCGGAAGGCCGUCGUCGACAUCGCUGUUUCAUUCCCUUGCCUCAGCUGCUGCUUCAAAGGCCCGGUGGUUAUGAGGCUGCGACGAGAAGUUACCAAGUGCGAGCUCUGCUUGCUGGAUGGCAAAUCAGCACCUACUUUAACUUGGGAUUCCAUUGAGUCGAUGCCAAUAACACAGGUGGCAUACUAAUCCGUGGCUGCUAUAUGUCAUUCUUUAUUCCUUUCUUCUGUUUUCCUGGAUGCUCUCAAUUUUAGAUUCUGGCUUGUAGAUAUGGCCUCGUAUCCUCAUCCAUUGGACCAGGCAUUUGUUCUUCAGGGGAAGCAAUAAAAAAAAGAAUCAAGUACUGUUGUGGACUUUUUUUGGGGGCAUUCGAUGCAUUUGGAUUUCGUAUAUUUUCACAUUGGGAGCCUUCUGUUUCCAGGUCCGGCCUUUUGCAAACAGGGACUCCCGGGGCUCUAGAACUUUUUGUCAUCACGCGGUCAUGCCUUUUGCAAAUAGGGACUCCUGGGGCUCUAGAACUCUUUGUCAGUCUCAAUCUGAGUGGUGCACCCCCUUUUAAUAAUGCAAAAAAUAUAAUUAUUUGUUUCACAGGUUGUGUCUAGCCAUGGCUGGUCAAGGUAUCAUCGGGGUCGGUGGGUGGAAAAGAUUAUGUGAUGAAGUGUGAGGCAGCAGCGGUGUUGGUAGUAGCUUGAUCUUGCAGAACGCACAUACUCAUCCGUGAUCUGCCGCAGCUUGAAGUGCGGUGACAUCAUGCUAGACAAUGCUGUAAUUGUAUCUCUGAUUUAAGCACCAUCAAGGUCAGCUCCAACAAGCCUAAUGUUCAUGUUAUCUGGGCAACAAUGGCUCGCAAAGCUGAUGUCAUCACCCAUGCCAUCGGUACCAUCAGCCACAUUGUGCUGGCCAAAAUAAAGUAAUUUGGUUGCACCUCUUUUUGCUAAGAACAGGUUUUCACUUGUCUCUUUGGUACCAUCCUUUUAUUGCUAUUAGGACUAGCUUUGUUGCUAUGUUUCUUAUUUUAAAACAUACUCGACUUUGUUGCUAUGUUUCUGCUCUACAAAGUUUCUCUGAUCAUCCAAAGAUAUGACGACUAUUGCUAUGCAAAUAAAUGAUAAAUUCAGAUGCAUGGUGAAGAGGUGUAAAUUAGGGUGUUCAUCUCCAUCCCUUUGGUUUUUCUUGAAGCAAUCUCGGGAAGAAGCUAGGAUGGUUCGAAAUUUUGUGAUGAAUGAAUGGUAUAAUCACCAACUUAGUUUGAAUCAAGGUGCUAUCUUGCUUUUACCUUACCAUAUUAGCCCCUGGUGCCUUUUAUUUCUAUUGUUAAGUCGCUAGGCAUGUGCAAGAUGAUUGCUACGAUUUGAUUCUUAGUACCAUGCUUAUAGAAAUGUAUGCCAUUUCAAUAUUGAAACUGUUGUGCGUACGAACUUCUCCUGUACGACGUGCAUCUGAUCCUUUUCUGCACCAUGAGAUUGUACAAUGAUCAAAGCGCACACGGCUGGAUACCUGGAUCUGAAUGUCGUACAAGUAUCAGACAGAAAAGGGUCGUACUUUUAGCAGCGUUCUUUCAACAUACCAUCUAGAUGGUACCAUAUCUAGCUUAUUUGUUUCCUUCGUUAGCUAUGUUUCUACAUUCAAAUAAAAGAACAGCUGAAACCUAUAGGAAAUAAAUAAUCAGAUUGAACCUCAUUGUCCUAGGUUAGCUGUAUGUUUGGUGCCAUGGUUGUCCAAGAAGCUCAGGUAUUUACUUAGUUUCCUGGUAAUAUUUGACCCUCAUUUGUGGAUAUUAUAUUCUCUAUCUGGCAAUGUAGUGGGACUCUCUGUGUCAGUUUUUAUGCUCUGUUUGCUGAUAGUUGCUUUGUUUGAUAGCAUGCAUAUCUGGGAAAGCAUCUACCACUUGAUAUUAAUUGUCCGGUAUCAUGUAGGGACUGUUUGAUUCCGUGGAAUUUUGACUAAGUUUUUGUCAACACUUGCUUGUAGUUUAGGCUACUGCUACCACCACCCUGAUAAAGUUUCUUCCUUUCUAAAUUAUGGAGUUGUUUAAGGAUCACAUAAACAGUAGUCAUAAUGUGUUUGCUGGCAGUGAACUUGUUAGGGGCACAUAUGUACUUCUGUCCAAUAGGGAAUGUGCAAGUCAUCAUCUGCUCCAUGUUUUCUUGUUCUUACAUGAGUUGUAGCAGAGGCUGCCUACAAAUAUAUUGUACUCUGUAAUACCUAUUUUACCCUCAAAACAAUAUCUUGUACUUGUUUCUUACCGAUUUUCUUCUUGUACUUACGUCUGCCUCUAUCUCUCUAUGUUCACACACCAGCUCUUUCAUCGGACUACAGACAAAGUUUGAUUCGCCGUCCAUGCCACUUCUAUGGAGAAACAACUGAGAAGCUAGGAACCCUUCCCUGUUGAUGCAAUACAUCACCUCUGUUGUUCCAGCUUCCUUGAUUCUUUCAGAUUAUGGAAAUCAAUCAGAAACCAAGCGCAACCUCGGUUUCAGUUACCGGUGAGGGAGGGGAGAUUGUUGUGUGUCUAAGAUGACUUGAAUUGACUGAAACUGGAUGGAAAAAAUUUGGCCGUUGAUUGGACUGCACCUGACCAACGAGGAGGCGCCCCAUGGGGCGCCCCAACCACUAGUCAUCUUAAUGCUAGGAUUGAGGUUGCAGGUGGAAGAUCAUUGCAUGGGGUUCACAUUAACUAAUUUGAAGUUGCGUGAGUGCGCAUGUCAUUUUUUUUGCUGGUAAACAAACUAGCUAGCCAUGCCACCAUAUUGUGUAUGUGAUUUACUGUUCUUUGUUUUUUUGUUAUACUAUGUGGUCAUAAAGCAUUUUAAGUACUGAAUUUCUUCAUCUGUAUUAGCAGCGCCUGAAGCUAUUGAAGGCUUCGGAUAAUUUUGUUAGUUGUUUAGCACAUGAGGAGAUAUACGUGUUAAGUAAGUUUGUAUUAAGCAUGU